rnacentral:pre_miRNA from 1 species
AUUGGGUUGGCCAAAAAGUUCCUUUGGGUUUUUCCGUAGGAUGUUAUGGAAAAACCCAAAUGAAUUUUUUGACCAAUCCAAU